ensembl:lncRNA
AAACCCUAGUCAUUUCUCGACAGUACUUUUUGCAAGGGCUGUGCGCACACACACGUUCAGGAAAGUUAGUAAAGAAAAGAGAAGCUUGAGAACGUUCGGCUGCGCAGGGAGCUGCAAGGCGGGCUGAGCAUCCGUCACCUCGUCCCACUCCCUGCAUCCGGGCUGGGAAUCCAGCAGCAGCAGCCGCCGCCCGCCUUCAGGGGCCCGGCGCCCGGGCGGGCCUGGAGGUGGUGGCGUGGCUGAG